CUACGUGCCAGCAGCCGCGGUAAUACGUAGGGUGCGAGCGUUAAUCGGAAUUACCGGGCGUAAAGCGGGCGCAGACGGUUACUUAAGCAGGAUGUGAAAUCCCCGGGCUCAACCUGGGAACUGCGUUCUGAACUGGGUGACUAGAGUGUGUCAGAGGGAGGUAGAAUUCCACGUGUAGCAGUGAAAUGCGUAGAGAUGUGGAGGAAUACCGAUGGCGAAGGCAGCCUCCUGGGAUAACACUGACGUUCAUGCCCGAAAGCGUGGGUAGCAAACAGGAUUAGAUACCCUGGUAGUCCACGCCCUAAACGAUGUCGAUUAGCUGUUGGGCAGCAUGACUGCUUAGUAGCGAAGCUAACGCGUGAAAUCGACCGCCUGGGGAGUACGGUCGCAAGAUUAAAACUCAAAGGAAUUGACGGGGACCCGCACAAGCGGUGGAUGAUGUGGAUUAAUUCGAUGCAACGCGAAGAACCUUACCUGGUCUUGACAU
rnacentral:rRNA from 1 species